rnacentral:rRNA from 1 species
GACAGAGGGUGCAAACGUUGUUCGGAAUUACUGGGCGUAAAGCGCGUGUAGGCGGCCCUGUAAGUCGGGUGUGAAAUCCCACGGCUCAACCGUGGAAGUGCAUUCGAAACUACAGGGCUAGAGUUCUGGAGAGGAAGGUGGAAUGCUUGGUGUAGAGGUGAAAUUCGUAGAUAUCAAGCGGAACACCGGUGGCGAAGGCGGCCUUCUGGACAGUAACUGACGCUGAGACGCGAAAGCGUGGGGAGCAAACAGGAUGAAGAUACCGGAG